CUGGCUGGAUUAGUUGCUUUCUGCUCACUUCAUGUUAUUGUGCAUACGCUGUACUUAAAAGACCAUAGCUAAAUCUAAGCAUGAUUAACUAUCUGGAAAUUCCACAGACACAACAAAUUUCUUAUCAAACUGCAAAUGCUUCUUUGUUUUCCAUAAAGAUAAUUUGGGUACCUAUUAGAGAAAUUCUUCCAGGAUAUAUGGAUUCUACAGGUGUGAAGCAUUCAAAGAUAUAACCCUAACAGUCAGGAGGAGGAAUCAUGACUCCUGCCUGGGAAAGACAGUGACAUAAAGAAAUCAAAGCAGUGAAAGAGCUUCCUAGGGAAGUUGUCUGUGCGCCUUUGAAUGAAAACCAGAUGGAAGAAGCAGUGCUCUCAGUUCCCUGAAAGCCCAAGGUAAGUUUCUUCCAAAGUCAUAAAUGAUGCAAUUACACUUUAGAUGUCUUUGUACAAUAUUUUGCCUUCUCCUUUUAUUGAGGGCCUGAGACUUUGGGAUGUAUUCAAUAUAAACUGUUUAAAUGAAAGAAAAAAAGAGAUAAAUGAGUAUACAUGUUUAAG
rnacentral:lncRNA from 12 species